rnacentral:piRNA from 1 species
UCUUUCAUAAUGCUGUGAGAUACUC